GUUUUCCUUAGGUGAUGCUAGGAGGCCUCUUCAUGAAACAGCAGUUUUGGUAGAAGAUGUGGUACACACACAGUUAAUUAAUCUGUUACAGCAAGCUGCUGAAGUUUCUCAACUUCGGGGAGCAAGAGUAAUCUCUGCUGAAGAUCUUCUGUUUUUGAUGCGCAAAGAUAAGAAAAAACUUAGAAGACUACUAAAGUACAUGUUUUUCCGAGACUACAAAUCCAAGAUCGUCAAGGGCAUAGAUGAAGAUGACCUUCUGGAAGACAAAUUGAGUGGCAGCAGUAAUGCAAACAAAAGACAGAAAAUCGCCCAAGAUUUUCUCAACUCUAUUGACCAAACAGGAGAACUCCUGGCAAUGUUUGAAGAUGAUGAGAUUGAUGAAGUUAAACAAGAAAGAAUGGAGAGAGCAGAAAGACAGACUCGAAUUAUGGAUUCAGCUCAAUAUGCAGAAUUCUGUGAAAGUCGACAAUUAAGUUUCUCCAAAAAAGCCUCCAAAUUUCGAGACUGGUUGGACUGCAGCAGUAUGGAGAUAAAACCCAAUGUUGUCGCAAUGGAAAUUUUAGCAUAUCUAGCAUAUGAAACCGUGGCACAGUUAGUGGACCUUGCUCUUCUUGUGAGGCAGGACAUGGUAACCAAGGCAGGAGACCCCUUUAGCCAUGCCAUUUCUGCAACCUUCAUUCAGUAUCACAACUCUGCUGAGGGGUCUUGCAUGAAGUCCUACCCAGAAUCUCCUGAGAACACACCUCCUCCUACACCAACAGCUCCAUCAGCUGGAUCACAGCACUCAGGGAAAACUGCAUCAGGAUCCCUGGGGAAUGGGAGUGCUGGACAAGACUCAGCUAAAACCAAACAAAGGAAAAGAAAAAAGAGCACUGCGGCCUGUGGUGUUGAGGCUCACAGCGAUGCCAUCCAGCCCUGCCACAUCAGAGAGGCCGUUCGACGCUACGGCCACAAGAUUGGCCCCCUUUCCCCAUUCACAGAUAAAAUGCGAGCAAGUGGAGGUUACUUCACCUAGACUGGGGUUCCUGAGGGCUUCAUGGGACAAGGAUUGCAUGAGCUGAAUUUUGAAGGAUAAGAAGUUAGUCAAGCAGGGAAGGAAGAGAUGCAGAGGGAACAUGAGCAAAAGUAGAGUUACAAGGAGGAACAGAAUUGCGUGUUCAGGAAAUUGCCAAUAAUUCAAGAUUAUUAAAGCAUGAAAUACAUGGUACAGAAUGCCUGGAGACAGAAGGAAAAGAAGAGGUGGAGGCUAAGACGUGGAGAACACGAUGUUUAAGAGCUUACUUCUUGGUGGAGUGUUGACUGAGGGCCUCUCAGCUGACAAAUUUCUUUUUCUUUGACAGAGUGCCUACCGCAGGAAUGGGAUGGCUUUUCUGGCCUGCUGAUGGGACUGUGACUGUAACAACAGGAAAGGCAAUGUUAUAUUAAGGUGAUUUCUGUUCCCCUCUUUGGACAAAAUAAAAUACAAGUUUACCUUCUCUGUAUCCUCAGGAGUGGGUUGGUUUGUUGUGACUAUCAACUGGCUGACUCCAGCUCCUUUCCAGCCCCCUGAAUGCUUGCUCUUGUUUACUGGCUGGGCCGUUUAGCUAAUUAAUGGCAGGAUGUUUGGGGUAGUGUGUAGGUGGACAAGAAUGCAGAUCACACAAUUUUGAAAUUUUAAUUUGGAAUGAAUUUACUGCCCUCAGCUCACAUAUCUUAACAGCAGUGUCUUUCCCUCCCUCCCUUCCCGCCCCUCCCCCCAGUGUUUAGUCUAUGUUUUAUUUGAUGCAUUUUGUAAUUCAGGUUUGGGACAAAGGAAAUAAAAUGAAAAGGACAGUCAGUUUUCCCCUUGCAGUAUCCCACCAACUUCAACAUCUGCUGAUUACAUAUAUCCUAUGUGAAUCUUAGAGACAAAUAUUCCUUUUAUAAACUCACACUAAUCAAGUACCUAAUUGAUGUGAUAAACUGUCUAUUCCCAUCCUCUCAUCCCUUCCCCCUACUUAGAGCGCAUGUGUUACUUCUUCAUCCCUUCUUUCUGAACUUCCUACAAAUCUGCCUUCCUGCGUGUUUUUGCUCACGUAGGCCCUCUUCCCCUGUCCUCAUGGUCCCCGUCCCUCCAGUCUCCAGGCCCAUCUCACACACACACACACACACACACACACACACACACACACACGGCACAUGGCCAUUUAGAGACAAAAUCAUCACAAUCACUUGACGAAGGAGAGCUCAGUGAGUGAUUUGCUUUCCCCCUUCCCAGCACUCCCACAGCUACAUUAGAGUCGUGGACUGGCUAAUUUCUUGCUGGUAGCAGCUGAGCUACUCUUCUGGCACCUCUACUUUCUUCUCUCUUAAAUGAGGAACUCUAACUUUUGAGAACAAAUCAAAAUAUAGCAGAUAUAAUUGUACAGUUCCUGAUUCAACUUGAAUUACAAAAAAAGGAAGUCAUUUCUUUAAUUCUGUAGGACUUCUGUGUAGUCUUACUUUUAUUCUGGUUUUUACACAUGCCGAAACAGCCUUCUGUAAAGAAUCAAUAAAAACAGAAAGAAGUAGCAUGAAA